CCGUCCGGGAGGGAGGUGGGGGGGUCAGCCCCCCACCCGGCCAGCCGCCCCGUCCGGGAGGUGAGGGGCGCCUCUGCCCGGCCGCCCCUACUGGGAAUUGAGGAGCCCCUCUGCCCGGCCACCACCCCGUCUGGGAGGUGUACUCAACAGCUCAUUGAGAACGGGCCAUGAUGACAAUGGCCGUUUUGUGGAAUAGAAAGGGGGGUAAGGUGGGGAAAAGAUUGAGAAAUCGGAUGGUUGCCAUGUCUGUGUAGAAAGAGGUAGACAUGGGAGACUUUUCAUUUUGUUCUGUACUAAGAAAAAUUCUUCUGCCUUGGGAUCCUGUUGAUCUGUGACCUUACCCCCAACCCUGUGCUCUCUGAAACAUGUGCUGUGUCC
rnacentral:lncRNA from 1 species